AUCAUCUGGAUUUCCAAUGCCGAUGCUUGGACAGAUGUUUAUCUAUCGCAGUACGUGGGGUUCAACGAGAGCACUAGGCAGUUGCUUUAUAGAGUUGAUCGAGAUUCUGAAUCUGCUGAAUAUAAUAUGUAUUCCAACAGCAGCAUAAGUAUAGAUGUUGGACUGCAUCUGCAUUGAAGUCAUCUCUUGGGCGUUUGCUAAGAGAAAAUGUGCAGGCUUAAGAGAUGGGUCUCCCUUCUUGAUCCCUUGUAAAAUCCUAAGAUUUUAGUUCUUGGCUUAAUCGUAGGAAAAUAAAAUUUGGUGGUGGUUCUUAUGUUACUUCUUAAGCGGCGGAGAUCACCUAUGCCAAAACUUGGAUGCGCCGUCUCCAUCUACCGAUGUAAACCUGAAUACCCAGAUAAUUGUGUUGGGAAUAAGGCAAAGGGUAAAACGAGAAAAAACAUGCUCAUAUCAUACCACUUAUAUAGGCGGAGGGGUCAGUUCUCUUAAAUUAAGGCAUGAUUUGAGUUUCCCAUGUGGAAGGGGAUAAGUAGUUUGUCUUGUUGAGUAUAAAGUUUUAGCCUCUAAAUGAUAGUUGAUGGAAAGUUUGAAUCUGUGGAGCGGUUUCAUGGGUAGGACUGAAAAUGAGUAAGUUCAUGUCAGAAAGCAAGCUUAAGAGAGAUCUCGCAGAAGGGUCUCCAAGGUUUAAACGCUAAGCUCCUUUGCUGCGAAGUGAAAGUGAGCAAGUUAUAUGUAUCAGAAAAUAAGCUUAAGAGAUAACUCAGAGAAGGAUCUCCGAUGCUUCCUUGUUAAACGCUAAGGUACCUGAUUUUGCAUUUUUGGUUCUCAGAUUUUGUUCAAUAUCUUAUUCGAAGUUUUGAACAUACAGUAUAUAGAAGUUAAUGUGGUUAUAAUUUGCUAGUUGCUACAGAUGGUAGAAAUUAGUAAAAUUUUAUGGGAUGUUUUCUAUAUGUCCACGGGAGAAGCAAAUCUUUUGUAUCGGGUUUUGAUUUAGGGCCACACGGUAUUUUGCCUAAGAUAUUUUUUCUUCUAAUAAGGUUCGUUUGGAAUAACAAAAUUCCACCAAAAGUUUGUUUUCUCGUUUGGUGUGCUGUGCAUGGGAAGCUCAAUACCAAGGAUAUGCUGUUGCGUAAGGGAAUGACUCUGGAAAUUGGCUGCAUUAUGUGUGGAGAUGCUGUAGAAACGGCAAGUCAUCUUCUUCUUCACUGUAAAGUGGCUUACACCUGUGGUUAAACUUAAUUCCUUCGGAUUGGUGUUGGAUUUCUCCCCAGUCUUUGUUUCAUUUAGCUAAUGGUUGGCAUCAGAUGUUCUUAAAUCAUAAUGUGGAGUGCUGGAAUAUGAUUCCUGCUGCUCUAGUGUGGGUGAUUUGGGGAGAAAGGAACACGCGUACUUUUGAGAAUAAGCACAUCUUCAAAACAGAUUUUGAUUUAAUCAUUGAAGCUAAAUAUCUGGUUAUUGCUUGGGCUACAGUUUUUGGGCAUCAUAUUAUCUCGACAGAGGACAAUUGGGAUGCAAUUUUUUCCUAAUUCCUAUUCUUUUUCUGUUUUAUUUUUCUUUCUUUUCUACUACUUGUAGCUCUUUUGUACAUUCUUUCUUUCAAUAAAAUCUAUCACUUCCAAUCAAA